AUUGAACGCUGGCGGCAUGCCUUGCACAUGCAAGUCGAACGGCAGCACGGGAGCAAUCCUGGUGGCGAGUGGCGAACGGGUGAGUAAUGUAUCGGAACGUGCCCAGUCGUGGGGGAUAACGUAGCGAAAGCUACGCUAAUACCGCAUACGAUCUAUGGAUGAAAGCGGGGGAUCGCAAGACCUCGCGCGAUUGGAGGGGCCGAUAUCAGAUUAGGUAGUUGGUGGGGUAAAGGCUCACCAAGCCGACGAUCUGUAGCUGGUCUGAGAGGACGACCAGCCACACUGGGACUGAGACACGGCCCAGACUCCUACGGGAGGCAGCAGUGGGGAAUUUUGGACAAUGGGCGCAAGCCUGAUCCAGCAAUGCCGCGUGCAGGAUGAAGGCCUUCGGGUUGUAAACUGCUUUUGUACGGAACGAAACGGCGAGCUCUAAUACAGUUUGCUAAUGACGGUACCGUAAGAAUAAGCACCGGCUAACUACGUGCCAGCAGCCGCCGCGG
rnacentral:rRNA from 1 species